rnacentral:rRNA from 1 species
CGGCGUGCCUAAUACAUGCAAGUCGAACGCUUUGUUCUCACCGGAGCUUGCUCCACCGAAAACAAAGAGUGGCGGACGGGUGAGUAACACGUGGGUAACCUGCCCUCAAGCGGGGGAUAACACUUGGAAACAGGUGCUAAUACCGCAUAACAAUCAGAAUCGCAUGAUUUUGAUUUGAAAGGCGCUUUUGCGUCACUUGAGGAUGGACCCGCGGUGCAUUAGCUAGUUGGUGAGGUAACGGCUCACCAAGGCCACGAUGCAUAGCCGACCUGAGAGGGUGAUCGGCCACACUGGGACUGAGACACGGCCCAGACUCCUACGGGAGGCAGCAGUAGGGAAUCUUCGGCAAUGGACGAAAGUCUGACCGAGCAACGCCGCGUGAGUGAAGAAGGUUUUCGGAUCGUAAAACUCUGUUGUUAGAGAAGAACAAGGGUGAGAGUAGAAUGUUCACCCCUUGACGGUAUCUAACCAGAAAGCCACGGCUAACUACGUGCCAGCCGCAGC